UAGGGAAUCUUCGGCAAUGGACGAAAGUCUGACCGAGCAACGCCGCGUGAGUGAAGAAGGUUUUCGGAUCGUAAAACUCUGUUGUUAGAGAAGAACAAGGACGUUAGUAACUGAACGUCCCCUGACGGUAUCUAACCAGAAAGCCACGGCUAACUACGUGCCAGCAGCCGCGGUAAUACGUAGGUGGCAAGCGUUGUCCGGAUUUAUUGGGCGUAAAGCGAGCGCAGGCGGUUUCUUAAAUCUGAUGUGAAAGCCCCCGGCUCAACCGGGGAGGGUCAUUGGAGACUGGGAGACUUGAGUGCAGAAGAGAAGAGUGGAAUUCCAUGUGUGGCGGUGAAAUACGUGGAUAUAUGGAGGAACACCAGUGGCGAAGGCGGCUCUCUGGUCUGUAACUGACGCUGAGGCUCGAAAGCGUGGGGAGCAAACAGG
rnacentral:rRNA from 1 species